CACCCCUCUCUUUACCCUGCCUCAAGCACUUUCUCUCUCUCCUCUCCCCGAAAUCAAAAUUUUCCAGGAAAGAAGAAAGAAAAAUUCGCAAAGAGAGAGAUAGAGAGUGAGCAGAGGUGGAAAGAGUUCCAAAAUGGAUGAAUAUACCAGAGAAAUGAUGGACCUCAAGACUCUUGUCACUCGAACCCUGGAGAAGAAGGGCGUCUUAGCUAAGAUCCGGGCUGAACUCAGGGCAAGUGUCUUUGAGGCAAUUGAAGAGGAGGAUAGGGUAAUUGAAAAGGAAGAGGGCUUACCUCCUGCAUUAUUGGGGAGCUGUAAUGACCGUGCAAAACAACUUCAUGCUUCUCCUUCAGGGAGGUUGCUAACUGCACUGAUAUGUGAAUAUUUGGACUGGGCACAACUAAAUCAUACGCUUAAAGUUUAUCUACCAGAGUGCAAUUUGCAAAAGGAUUCCUGGAAAGCUGAGUUGAAGGAAUUUAGUAGCAAGAAUGGGUAUGAUAUAAACAGAAAUGGUGACAGCGGUCCUUUGCUUUUGGAUGUUCUUGAAGGAUUCUUGAAGUUUGAGAACUUAUCCCAAGGAAGAGGUACUGGAAGGAGGAUAUCAGAAGCUGAGUCCUUAUCUACCUUAGAUUCAAGAAAUGUUCGAAGACCCUCUUCAUCAUCUGUUGCUGGUGGUUUACCUCCACUAGGAAGGCCAGCUUCUUCUCAGUCAUCUGAUAGGAGAGCAGGAUCCUCUAUGUCUGGUUACCGGAAAGAUGAAUAUAAUUGGAGAUAUGAUAGUGAUGAACUUCCAGAAGAUGUGAUACGAGCUUCAGCUGCACUGGAAAACCUUCAGUUGGACAGGAAAGCCCGGAAUCUAACCACAUCUUGGCGACAUGCGGGAGAUGGAAUGAGUGAUGAUGAUGGCAGGGUUGACCAUAUUUAGUUGAAUGGAAUACAUUGUGAAACUGCACUUGUAGUUUAGUAUGUACUUUUCACUCUUAAUCUGUCAAAUGUUCUGUUAUGAGGAAAUGAGGGUAGUGAUUUUAUGGAGAGCUUGAUGGUCAGCUCAAGGUGCGAGUGGUGUGCAACAUCAACAACUCUGAGCUUUCCAGCUAGGCAAGAUGAAAUUCUGGAGGCAUGUGGUAGAAGGAGCAAUGGCACUAGGCACCUGUGUUAGUAGAGGAAUCUGGAAUUAGUGGUGUGUGUAAGGUGCGUGUAAGAGAUGUAUUCUUCCUUAUCAACUACCAUCCAUAAUGGGUUAAGUUGAGUUUCACUACACAUUCUUGCCUGGUUAGGCCGAUUAGAGGGAAUUUAGGCAAAUGAAAGUGUCACAAAAGUAGGCCCUGCUUUUGAGUCCUUUAUCAACAUUAUAGAAUUCAUUAUUGUGGUUGGGUUUUUCGUUAUUAUAGUAAAUGCUGAACUCUUAUGUCCUUUCGUAAUCAAUAAUUGAUUUGUUUGGUUCUUGCCUAUAAUAUGUAAUUGACUCCGGUAUCUAAAAUCACACAUUACAAUUUGAUC